UGUUUUUUACAGUCCCUCAGGUGACUCGGGUGUGCAGUAGCAGGUUGGGAAGACUGGGAGACAGAGCCACACAAGCAGACACAACCCGUGGGGAAGUUCUGCAGGUCAGCGUGGUCCACACAGGCGUCCCAGAGGAAACAGCGGGGGGCGCACCAGGGAAGAUGGGGCUGAGGGCCUGAUUGUUCAAGUCUUCGCGGUGGAACAGCCACCGGUGCCAACUCUGAGACCAGUUACAGGGGACACAGGAGGGAGUAUGGACAGCACAGAGCCGUAAGGCAAAGGGGUCCCAGGUGGUCCCUGUUCUCCUAGGAGCCAACUCCACCUACCCCCAGGCUGGCUCUUCCCAGGAAUUGGCAGUUUUCUGGGGGUCUGAGGGAAAGACCUGCUUGGAGAGAGCCCCAGUUUGGGGGAGGAAGUCAGGAGCAGAGACUUGCUGGGAGAUUCUUGGUCCACGGGGAGUCGGGGGGGCCUGGGUCCCCGUCACCAGGUCUACCCGGGGGAGGCGGGCCGGGUGCAGCCUUCAGCGGGAACUAGACCACACCAUGGAAAAGCCACCUGGGGAUCCCCAGCCCAGGCUGGAGGUUCGGGGGUGUCUGGCUGAGAGGGCUCUUCCUGGGAGGCCUGUCCUACCCCACAGGGUGUGUUGUUUUCUCCAGAGGAGGCAUCUAGCACCCAGAACGCCCAAGCUGGGCAGGGCGGGUGUGAAUCAGCUGGGGCCGGGGGUGGUGGCGCUGGAACGGGUGUGCUGUGGGGACAGUGCCCGGGCUGUGCUGCCCGCAGACCCAAGUUGAAUCCAGAGCCUCAGUUUACUCCCUAGUGAAGUGAGGAUUCAAUAAGACAUAUGUGGACGUCACCUUGUGCACCAACAGGAACACGGCAGGCACUUGGCAAGUGGGAGCUGUGACUGCCCCAAGACGGAGCCUGGUGAGGUUGGCAUGGCCCUGAAAACCCAUAGCGUACCCAGGGUCCCCCAGUGGAAAGACCCGCUGACUCCAGGCAGCUGCACUGAAGGGGGAGUCUGACUUGUGUUGGGGUGGCGGGGUAGCCACCUAGGGGCGGAAGCAACCCACUAGAGAGGGGCGACAAGGGUGGCUGAGAAGUUGAGAGGAGGGAGUCUUGGGCUCCAAACGCGGAGGCCACGCACAUCCUGGGGGCAGGCUCAGAGCCCCCCUACCAGUGAGCUUUGGCCAGAAGUCCAGGGCAGGAUUCCAGCUCAGGGGCCAGGGUGCUAAAGACAGGCUCUGCCCAGGGGACUCCGGGCCGUAGGCUGAGCUCUCGUACCUUGGGCUGGGAAAUGGCGAGAUAGCACCAGCCACCAAACUUCACCCAGGACAGAGCCACCCGGGCUCUUAAAAGCCACCCCUGCCUCCGGGCUCCAGAGCAGCCUUGGCUGCUGGCUGGCUGCAGAUCUGCCAGGAGCCAUCCCUAGGGUCUCUGGGGAAGGUGCCCUCCUCUGGCAUCCACACGGGCAACUUGCAGGGGCAACCAGGCAGCUGGGAAGAGCGUGUUGGGUUUUGUUUUGGAAGCCUGUGUGGACAGACAAGAAAAAGCAGCCUUUGUUGGGGAGGCUGACCCGGCUGGCGAGGCCGCUGUCCCUGGGCGUGGCUGUCUGCCUGUCUGGGAGCAGCGGGUGGGACUGUCAGGCCCUGCUGGGCAGGCUAGGGGCGACGGCUCCCUCCCUGCUGACGCGGUGCCCGCUGCACCCGAAUCUGUUCACACGGCAUCUGGACGGUUGGGCCAGCCCUGCCCUCCCCUGCUGGGGAAACUGAGACCCCACCACACUCUCAUUUCAGGACGUGUGGCUGGAUGACUGACUCACACAUGGAACUUGGGGUGUGCUUUGCACUGUUGUCGAUGCCACAGGGAGGUCAACGCAUCCCUCAGGAUGCAGGGUCAGGGGUCAGGCCUGUGCCCCAGGCCCAGGGGAGGAAACGAGGGCUUGUGUGUUUUCAGGCAGAACUGCUCAGAGAGACUUUGCCUUGUGACCGUGGAGGCCCAGUGGCAGGACCGCGCUGGACUGCAGAGGUGGGCAGAGCACGGGCCCAGCACAAGGACCUGGCCUCCAGGAAGGGGGCAUUUGCCGUGUGGUGGAGACCUGGCACCCCUCAUACCCAGCACCUGGAGGUGACUGGUCCGUGGGUGGCAGUGGUGUGAUGUCCUGUCCUUGACAGCCUCAACAACGGCUCUGCGGCAGUCCUGGGCCCAGAGACAUCUGUCUUCAAAUCAGGAGCCUAGCAGGGGGACAUCCCAUCUAGGAGGUGGGGCCUUGCCCUGUGGGGUCCAGGUGGCAAAGUCCUGGAGUCCUCGCACGGCCCAGGCAGGGGGAAAGGCCACAAAAUGUGGCUGGUAUUGUGUCUCUGCAACCGCGGCCAAUGGGGGUUCCAAACGGAUGUAAUUUGGUUUAGAGAGAAAUGUGAUUUAGAAGUACCAAGAAAUAUGACAUUUCUUUUACCUCAAAUGCCUCAGGUGGAUUUGUACCUGUUGCAGCCAUUUGACCAGGUUUCUUCACAGGUUGAGUGGUUUCUCGUGGCCAGGCCUUUGCUCACGUUGGCUUCCUCUCCCUCUGUGGCUGGCCCUACCCUGCCAGUCCCAGCCAGCCUUCUCCGGGAGCUUUCCUGGGGCCCGCGGAUGCCAUCAUUCUCUCGUCUGCUUCCAGGCAUGUGUAUCCUCAGACACAGGAGGAACCCAUGUGUCUGUCUUCACUCGUCCCAGUCUUGCCCCAUCCAACAGGUUCUCCACUCCGCAGGUUGUCCCUUGUGUGAGUCCCUCGACUGGGACGCUCCUUCCGGAACCUGGCUAACUCCAGCUCCAGACAGCCGCAGCCAGGCCACGUGGGAGGGAAUGAGCUUUCAGAUGGUCCCAUCACCCAGCCGAGUCCCCAGACUCAUGGGGUAACAACAGGCCAGCCCCACAGAGCCCUUGCUACAUUUCCAACCCACAGAAAUGUGAGAGACGAUGAAUGAUUAUAGUUGCGGAAGCCCCUACAUUUGGAGGUGAUUUGUUACGCAGCCGCAGCUCUGCAGACCGACACCCUGCGCCUGCCCUGCCCUGGUCAGAUGCUCACAGCACCCCACUUGUUUCUUCUUUGCACGUGGCACUGUUGUCAUUUUGUCCAUUUACGUGUGUUUGAGUAAUCUCAUUCCCCCACUAGGACGUAAGCCCCACGAGGGCAGGAACCUUGUCUGCUGUGCCCACCGUUCUGUCCCCAGCAGUGAGCACAGCGUCUGGCUCUCUGUUCAAUACAAAACAUGAGCCGUGAAUGAAUGAAUGAAUGAAUGAAGCUGGUGAGAGGCAGGAGCCUGCCCCAGCGACCUAGAGGUGGAGUUCAAAUGCUUCCAGGAACCUCCUGUUUGCUCCUGCUUGCAGGAAGCUCCGCGCUGGCAAGUGGCACACAGCAACCUUCACUUCACGACAAGCCGCAGGGGCCUCUGCCGCCACCUCUCCUUAUCUUCUCGCCCUGAGUUCUUCUCUGAGGUCCAGGCGGGUCACCCCCAUAUGCAGCGUAAGCUUCGUGGAGGCCUUGGCAGAGCACUUUGUUUGGGCUUCCGUGCCCUUCGGACAUCCCGGGAGUCACACUCCCUACUCUACCCUGCUGCCCCGCUCUGGCCUGGGUAAUCCUUCACGGAGGCCCGCGGGGAGCGAGGGAGGCAGAGUGUUCUCAGAACCAAGGGAGUGCUGGUCCCUGGCUCCGUCUACAGGUGACGAUGCAGGUGGCGGAAGCUGGAGGGCGGUGUCAGUGACUGAUCUGGGACCAGCCAGGGCGCGCAAACCCAGCGCCCUCCAGCGUCCUCCACGUAACUCUGCUGGGUGGCCCGCUCUGUGCCUCCCUGCACAAGGGCUGCUGGGCCACAAGCCGCCAUUGCAUGUCGGGACCUGAGAGCCCCCAUGUCCUGGCCCCCGCACCUCUGGGGCACGCAAGUGCUUGUGAAAUGACUCCCCCUGGAGGCCCCUUGGCCCAGGUCAUCAGUGAUGACGCAGGGCUGAGUCACCUAUUUUCCUGGAGGAGCUUCUUAGAAAGGGCUGGGCCCUGCCCUCCCCAGGUAGCUUCCAGCACCCCGCCCCCCCGCACCUGUCUUCCACAGAGAGAGCCGCUCUCCCGCCCUCCCAGUCGGGACUUCCGCUUGCCCGGGCUUGCAGCAGCAGGGAUGGCUUGGGAGGGGCCACGGGAUCUCUGGCCUGGGGCCGUCUCUAGGGAGCCUCAGCAUGUGGGCACGGAAGGGACUCAGCGCCUUUUUGGGCAGCAGAGGAGACCGAGGCACAGAGAGCAGGGUUUCUCUCUGAUGCGUCCCUCACCGCACCUCUCUUGUCCAGCGUCCCCCCACAGCCCGCACUAGCAGGUGUCGACUGGAGGCCGUGCAGAAGGGUGGACGCAGAUCAGACUGGGAGCCGGCACCGGCCCAGGGACCGCACAUCCGAAGGCUGGUCAGCCACACAUGAAGGAGCCUGGGGCAAAGGACUCUGCCCCAGGGCUGGCAUUAACCAAGCCAGUCUGACUUGGACCACACUGAAGAAUACCUAGGGACUGGGGCUGAGAGCAAGAGGAGACCAGCAGACACCAGAGAUCCUGGAGCCAAGGCUGCUGCUGUCCCCGUACCACCGCAGGCAGCUCUGGACCCCGAGUCCUGAUGGGUCACAACUGGGCUCUCCCCCACCCCCACUACGGCUGCCAUCUUGGCCACCGCCUCCAAAUAUACACAGCUGUGUACACUGUUUCCCUUUUUUUUUUUUUUUUUACAUUUUAGAGUUUUACAUUUAGACAGGACCUAUUUUUAGUUAAUUUUUGUAUUUGGUGUGAGUAUGGUUGGAGGUUCAUUUUUGGGUUUAUGGAUUGUAUUGGUUUUUUAUGCUGCACAAUAAAUGAACCCAAACUUAGCAGCUUAACACGUUUAUGACAUCACAGUUCCUGUGGGUCAGGAGCCUGGGCACGGCUUAGCCACGUCCUCUCCUGAGGGUCUCCCCAGGCUGUACCUGGUAUUGCUGGGCUGUGUUCUCAUCUGAAGGCUUGACUGGAGAGAAUCCAUCUGCAAGCUCAUUCAGUUGGUGGUGGAAUUCAUUUCCUUGCAGCUAGAGGACUGAGGGCCCAGCUCCUAGAGGUGUCCUGCAAUUCCUUGACAUGUGGGCUUCCCACACACGACUGCUUCUUGUCAAGCCAGGAAGGCCAGUCCAGAGCAGUUGGCUAGCAAGACAGAAUCUUAAAUAAGGUGACGCAAUCAUGAGGACAACAUCCCAUAGCUUGCCAUAUCCCACUGAUUAGAAGCAAGUCACACUCAAGGGGCAGGGACUUCCACAACGAUGGAACCUUGGCUCUAGGAUCUCUGGUCUCCACUGGUCUCCUCUUGCUCUCAGGCCCAGUCCCUACAUAUUCUUCAGUGUGGUCCAAGUCAGACUGGCUUAGAUAAUGCCAGCCCUGGGGCAGAGUCCUUUGCCCCAGGCUCCUUCAUGUGUGGCUGACCAGCCUUUGGAUGGGCGGUCCCUGGGCUGGUGCCGGCUCCCAGUCUGAUCUGUGUCCACCCUUCUGCACAUCCUCCAGUCGACACCUGCUAGUGCGGGCUGUGGGGGGACGCUGGACAAGAGAGGCAGGGGCCAUCACGGGAUCUGAGAUUCUGCCUGCUGCAUGGACGUACCAUUUGCUGAAAAGACUAUCUUUCCUCCAUUGAAUUGUCUUUAUACUUCUGCAAAAAAUCAAUCGCUCAUAUUUGUGUGAGCACAUUUCUGGACACCACCUUCUAUUCAACUGAUCUACGUGUCCAUCCCUUUGCCACUAACACGACGUCCUGAUGACUGUAGCUUGUGCUGCAUUCUAUCAGCAAAUCGUGUUCCAACUGGGCUGUUCUUUUUCGCAACUGAUUUUAGGUAUUCUAGGUCCUUUGCUGUUUCGUAUACAUUUUAGAAUUGGUUUACAAAUUUUUGUUAAAAAAAUCCUGCUGGAAUUUUGAUUGGGAUUGCUUUGAACCUAUAGAAGUGAGUAAAAAUUUUGAGUCAAGAUUUAAAAAGUGACUUGAGUUUACAUGUGAAAAACUCUAGAUUUCCAGGUUUUCUUGGGAAAUGAGAAAAUGGAGCAGCAGCAGGCCUGUGACCCUACAGGUCCAUGACCAGAUGACCAGCUCUCGUCCUGCCCAGCAGGUGGGCCAUGUCCCAGUGCACCUGCUGUCCUCUUGCCCACCCACGGUGGCUCAUGUGCCACACUCUCUCUCUCUGUUCACUGUCGCCUGCCUGGGCCUCUCAGGCCCUAGAGUUGGUGGCUCCUGUGCUAGCCUCUCUGUGCUGUAACUUAGGGGCAGGAUGCUCUCCCUCCACUCUUGGCCUGGCUAAUAGCUUCUCAUCGUGCAAAACUCAGGGCCCCAAGAGGCCUCCCAGACCCAAGCGAGGUGAGGACCCCAGGCUUGUGAUCUUGUAGCUCCCGGAGCUGCUCCUCCUAAGUCCUCACCCCAGGAGGACGAUGUCUGUUUCUCCCAGUGAGUUCCAUGAGGCGAGGACCAGGCCUUUUGGUCACUGCUGCAUCUCCAGUGACUGCCGCAGAGUCUGGCACAUAGUAGAUGCUCAAUAAACAUUCAAAGGCUCAAUGAGCCUUUUCCCAGGCUGCAGCUCAGGAGCCUUUAAGUAGUUCCCCAUGUCCUUCCCCCCUCGCCCCGUCUUGGCCUCCUUGUUUGAAGAUGUGCCUGUGAAAAUGACAAAGUGGGACACUCAUGUUCUUGGCCUGGAAACUGCUCCCUUCUAACAGGACAAACAAGCUCCUUGGAGCCUGGGACAGGCUUUGGCUGGAAACCCAGGACACUGUCUCCUUGCACGGCCCUGAGGGCUCUUGCUCCUUUUCUUUCUUUCCUUUUUCAGCUUUAAUCAUUUAAAAAAAUUAAAGCAUUAUUUACAUA